GACGAACGCUGGCGGUGUGCUUAACACAUGCAAGUCGAACGGAAAGGCCUCUUUCGGGGGGUACUCGAGUGGCGAACGGGUGAGUAACACGUGAGUAACCUGCCCUUGACUUUGGGAUAACUUCAGGAAACUGGGGCUAAUACCGGAUAGGAGCUCCUGCUGCAUGGUGGGGGUUGGAAAGUUUCGGCGGUUGGGGAUGGACUCGCGGCUUAUCAGCUUGUUGGUGGGGUAGUGGCUUACCAAGGCUUUGACGGGUAGCCGGCCUGAGAGGGUGACCGGCCACAUUGGGACUGAGAUACGGCCCAGACUCCUACGGGAGGCAGCAGUGGGGAAUAUUGCACAAUGGGUGGAAGCCUGAUGCAGCAACGCCGUGUGCGGGAUGACGGCCUUCGGGUUGUAAACCGCUUUCGCUCAUGACGAAGCUUUGUGUGACGUUAGUGGGUAAAGAAGCACCGGCUAACUACGUG
rnacentral:rRNA from 1 species